GACGAACGCUGGCGGCGUGCUUAACACAUGCAAGUCGAACGGAAAGGCCCUGCUUUUGUGGGGUGCUCGAGUGGCGAACGGGUGAGUAACACGUGAGUAACCUGCCCUUGACUUUGGGAUAACUUCAGGAAACUGGGGCUAAUACCGGAUAGGAGCUCCUGCUGCAUGGUGGGGGUUGAAAAGUUUCGGCGGUUGGGGAUGGACUCGCGGCUUAUCAGCUUGUUGGUGGGGUAGUGGCUUACCAAGGCUUUGACGGGUAGCCGGCCUGAGAGGGUGACCGGCCACAUUGGGACUGAGAUACGGCCCAGACUCCUACGGGAGGCAGCAGUGGGGAAUAUUGCACAAUGGGCGGAAGCCUGAUGCAGCAACGCCGCGUGCGGGAUGACGGCCUUCGGGAUGUAAACCGCUUUCGCCUGUGACGAAGCGUGAGUGACGGUAAUGGGUAAAGAAGCACCGGCUAACUACGUG
rnacentral:rRNA from 1 species